UACGAAGGGGGCUAGCGUUGCUCGGAAUGACUGGGCGUAAAGGGCGCGUAGGCGGAUGGCACAGUCAGAUGUGAAAUUCCCCGGGCUUAACCUGGGGGCUGCAUUUGAUACGUGUUGUCUUGAGUUCGGAAGAGGUCGUGGAAUUCCCAGUGUAGAGGUGAAAUUCGUAGAUAUUGGGAAGAACACCGGUGGCGAAGGCGGCGACCUGGUCCGACACUGACGCUGAGGCGCGAAAGCCGUGGGGAGCAA
rnacentral:rRNA from 1 species